UACGGGGGGAGCAAGCGUUGUUCGGAUUUACUGGGCGUAAAGGGCGCGUAGGCGGCCAGCGCAAGUCAGUUGUGAAAUCUCCGGGCUUAACUCGGAAAGGUCAACUGAUACUGCGCGGCUAGAGUGCAGAAGGGGCAACUGGAAUUCUUGGUGUAGCGGUGAAAUGCGUAGAUAUCAAGAGGAACACCUGCGGCGAAGGCGGGUUGCUGGGCUGACACUGACGCUGAGUGUGCGAAAGCCAGGGGAGCAAACGGG
rnacentral:rRNA from 1 species